GAUGAACGCUGACAGAAUGCUUAACACAUGCAAGUCUUUGGCGAAUCUGUGCUUGCACAGGCUAGCCAAGGCGGACGGGUGAGUAACGCGUAAAGAACUUGCCCUGCAGACAGGGAUAACAGACGGAAACGACUGAUAACACCUGAUACAGUUGCCGGCACGCAUGUGCCUGGCAAUGAAAAGAGAUGCUGCAGGAGAGCUUUGCGUCCUAUUAGCUUGUUGGUGAGGUGACGGCUCACCAAGGCGAUGAUAGGUAGCCGGCCUGAGAGGGUGAACGGCCACAAGGGGACUGAGAUACGGCCCUUACUCCUACGGGAGGCAGCAGUGGGGAAUAUUGGACAAUGGGGGCAACCCCGAUCCAGCAAUUCUGUGUGCACGAAGAAGGUUUUCGGAUUGUAAAGUGCUUUCAGCAGGGAAGAAGAAAGUGACGGUACCUGCAGAAGAAGCGACGGCUAAAUACGUG
rnacentral:rRNA from 1 species